rnacentral:misc_RNA from 1 species
GUGAAUCAUCAAAUCUUUGAACGCAAAUUGCACUCUCUGGUAUUAGGGGGAGUAUGCCUGUUUGAGGGUAAGUUUAAAUUAAAAAUCGAGGUGUUGCUUUUUUUUGUGACGCAUAGGGAUUGGGUUAUCUUUGUCCUUUGGAUUUCUUAAGAGAAUUAACAUUGAUACUUUGUGCAUUUGCGAAGUACAUAAAGAAUAUUUUUUUUUUUAUCCGUUCGGUGUUGGACAAUUUUAU